rnacentral:rRNA from 1 species
UACAGAGGUCCCGAGCGUUGUUCGGAUUCACUGGGCGUAAAGGGUGCGUAGGUGGUGAGGUAAGUCGGAUGUGAAAUCUCCAAGCUCAACUUGGAAAUGGCAUUGGAAACUACCUUGCUGGAGGUUUGGAGGGGGACUGGAAUUCUCGGUGUAGCAGUGAAAUGCGUAGAUAUCGAGAGGAACACCAGUGGCGAAGGCGAGUCCCUGGACAAAACCUGACACUGAGGCACGAAAGCUAGGGGAGCAAACAGG